rnacentral:lncRNA from 1 species
CGUGCACAGCUGGUUGCAUCAUAGAGAUGUGUUCCAUGGUCUCUUUUGGUGCUGUUUCUAAGAGACAGCAAGUGGAGAUUUCCUUGCUCAGCAGUACCACUGCAGUGGGGUCAAAAACAUCUUGGUUCUUAGUUUUACUUUCUUGGCUAAAUUACACGUACCCCACUGAGAGGGCAUUUUGCUGUCAGUUGCUAAAAAGAAACACAGAGAAGAGACUAAUGACAAACCAGCCUCGUCCAAAAGAAAAACAUGGUCUGAACUAAAAACAAUUAAAAAAAAUAUCUCAAUAUCCAGGAACAGUACUCACACGUCUCUGCAAGGCAUGUCCUAGGAUCCAUAAACAGUAAGUACAAACCUUUUAUUUUAACCUUUCUGUAACAUGAACGAAAUUGAUUAGUGAUGUCUGUGAAAGUUCACCAUGAUCAAAAGAUUUCCUAUAUUGCUAUUUUGAUGGUAAAGAAGGAUGGCAAAGAAAGAAAUGCAUUGAUACAUUCACAAAAGAUUUUCAUUCACAAGUGUUGCAAUAUAUUCUUUCAUUAUCCUCAGUAACUAGAAGAUUUAAACCUUAAUCCUUGCAAAUUCUGGUAAUUCAUGCCUUUGAUUUCACUUUCUCUUUGAUGCAACAGUGGCGGCAGCAGCACUCUCUUAUACUGGUAGGAUAAGACCGAAGUGUCAUGGAAAAUUUCAAUUCCAAACAGACAUAGAUGCCGAAAUUUCCAUUCCUUUUGCAAAUUAAUCUGUUGAUUCAGAGGAAGAGAAAGAGAAUGGUAGGAAAUGCUCUUCGAUUAAAGAUUUUAAUCAUGAAGUUUUGGGAAAAUAUAACCUGUUUACUUCCUGCAUCUCUUUGAUAUCUACUCCCUGUGAACCG